AUUGAACGCUGGCGGCAUGCUUUACACAUGCAAGUCGAACGGUAACAGCACUUCGGUGGCUGACGAGUGGCGAACGGGUGAGUAAUACAUCGGAACGUGCCUAGUAGUGGGGGAUAACUACUCGAAAGAGUAGCUAAUACCGCAUGAGAUCUAAGGAUGAAAGCAGGGGACCUUCGGGCCUUGCGCUACUAGAGCGGCUGAUGGCAGAUUAGGUAGUUGGUGGGAUAAAAGCUUACCAAGCCGACGAUCUGUAGCUGGUCUGAGAGGGCGACCAGCCACACUGGGACUGAGACACGGCCCAGACUCCUACGGGAGGCAGCAGUGGGGAAUUUUGGACAAUGGGCGCAAGCCUGAUCCAGCAAUGCCGCGUGCAGGAUGAAGGCCUUCGGGUUGUAAACUGCUUUUGUACGGAACGAAAAGCCCUCUUCUAAUACAGGAGGGUCAUGACGGUACCGUAAGAAUAAGCACCGGCUAACUACGUG
rnacentral:rRNA from 1 species